UUACACAUGCAAGUCGAACGGUAACAGGUCUUCGGAUGCUGACGAGUGGCGAACGGGUGAGUAAUACAUCGGAACGUGCCCGAUCGUGGGGGAUAACGAAGCGAAAGCUUUGCUAAUACCGCAUACGAUCUACGGAUGAAAGCGGGGGAUCUUCGGACCUCGCGCGGACGGAGCGGCCGAUGGCAGAUUAGGUAGUUGGUGGGAUAAAAGCUUACCAAGCCGACGAUCUGUAGCUGGUCUGAGAGGAUGAUCAGCCACACUGGGACUGAGACACGGCCCAGACUCCUACGGGAGGCAGCAGUGGGGAAUUUUGGACAAUGGGGGCAACCCUGAUCCAGCCAUGCCGCGUGAGUGAAGAAGGCCUUCGGGUUGUAAAGCUCUUUCGGACGGAAAGAAAUCGCCGCCUCUAACAUAGGCGGUGGAUGACGGUACCGUAAGAAGAAGCACCGGCUAACUACGUGCCAGCAGCCGCGGUAAUACGUAGGGUGCGAGCGUUAAUCGGAAUUACUGGGCGUAAAGCGUGCGCAGGCGGUUUGGUAAGACAGGUGUGAAAUCCCCGGGCUUAACCUGGGAACUGCGCUUGUGACUGCCAGGCUAGAGUACGGCAGAGGGGGGUGGAAUUCCACGUGUAGCAGUGAAAUGCGUAGAGAUGUGGAGGAACACCGAUGGCGAAGGCAGCCCCCUGGGCCUGUACUACGCUCAUCACAAAGC
rnacentral:rRNA from 1 species